GAGGGUGUCGCUCAGUAGUAGAGCACAUGCUUAGCAUACAAAGGGUCCUGGGUUCAAUCCCCAGCACUUCCA
rnacentral:tRNA from 1 species